CCCUUAGAUGUUCUGGGCCGCACGCGCGCUACACUGAUGCAUUCAACGAGCACCCGCUGGGCCGAGAGGUCCGGCUAAUCUUUGAACGUGCAUCGUGCUGGGGAUAGAUGAUUGCAAUUAUUCAUCUUCAACGAGGAAUUCCUAGUAAACGCAAGUCAUCAGCUUGCAUUGAUUACGUCCCUACCCUUUGUACACACCGCCCGUCGCACCUACCGAUUGAAUGGUCCGGUGAAAUUCUCGGACGCGGACUAGCGAUGUUAAUUCGGAGCUUGACUGUGAAAGUUAAUUAAACCUUACCAUUUAGAGGAAGGUGAAGUCGUAACA
rnacentral:rRNA from 1 species